GGUAAUAACCGGAGGAAGUGGGAUGACGUCAAAUCAUCAUGCCCCUUAUGACCUGGGCUACACACGUGCUACAAUGGUUGGUACAACGAGUUGCGAGUCGGUGACGGCGAGCUAAUCUCUUAAAGCCAAUCUCAGUUCGGAUUGUAGGCUGCAACUCGCCUACAUGAAGUCGGAAUCGCUAGUAAUCGCGGAUCAGCACGCCGCGGUGAAUACGUUCCCGGGCCUU
rnacentral:rRNA from 1 species